ensembl:snoRNA SNORD15 Small nucleolar RNA SNORD15
CUUCAGUGAUGACACGAUGACGAGACGGAGCGAGACUCAUCCUGACUGAGGGUUCCUGGUCCAGGUCCACGUUCUGUGGUCCCGGUCCAGUCCUCAGACCAGUGAGUCCCUGUCACGUGAAGACAAAGAGGCAUUUGUCUGAGAGGG